UAGGAAUUGAAAUGUCUUUUGGCUUCAUUAUCAAAUUUUCUUCGAGGCUAUAAAAAAGCUACUUCAAUAGGUUCCCUCUUUUGAAACCAUCCGACAUCGUAGGCUGCUGAGGACAAGCAUAAAAACCUAUCCUCCUCUUCACUGAAAUCAUAACAAAAGUACUAAGUAAAUCAGAGAGAAUCGUGAGGGUGAGUAGGGUUUCUUGGUUGAAGAAGAAAGGAGAAUAGUUGGGGACUUAGAACACUCUGAAAUUUCAAGAUCUUUGCUGGAAAAGAGAUGAUGUUUCAGGUAAAGUUGAAGAAGUUUAGUGCGAGGAUGCGAUGGGAAAACCUCUAUGGGAUUUUAGAACAUGUAUUUUAAAUUGUGAAAUGUGUGGUUUGUAAUUUUCAAGAGUUUUAAUAUUUAGUUUGUACUUCAAUAAAUACUCUUGAAACUUUGACGAUAUUAUUGUGUAAUAAUAUUAAGUGUUGUGAUUUCAAA
rnacentral:sRNA from 1 species